AGAAGCCGAGCGGCUGUUCACCGGUUCCAACAAGAGAGCGGAACGGCUCCGGCUCUCCCGGUGUUUACCUUCCCGGGCUCCAAGCGAGGCGGCCGCCCGGCAGCGGGGAUGUUCCCGUACGGCAGCAGGAACACCGAACAAUUUCUGUUCUGCUGUUUCAACUUUCUGCCUGCUCCUCCUCCAGGUUCUUCCUCAACACCUUUAUAGGGAACGCCGGACAAGGCAGCAGCCGCGCCCUGAGCUCUUUGUAAAGCAAAGAGCUCCCAGCAGCAAGAUCCGUCUCAUGGGAGCAAGCCAGUGCGCCGUUUCGCCCAGGAGAGGGCACCCUUACACCUGGCCGCACAACCGGACAUGGACGCGCAUAGGAAGAACAGGAACGGUUAACCCCCUGAAAUCAGUAUACAUAUCUCCCUAGGCAACUCUCCUCUCCAAUACGAAAUGCUCCAGCAAUAAUGAAAGAAGAUCAAGCCUGAUAUUUUUGAUUUUUCUAAAUGAACGAGGCCAAGAUGAGGAGAGGGUAAGUCUUGUUAUGCAAGGGACAAAGCAGCAAAAGAGGAUCAGAAUGUUGCAUGCUGGAAAGUUAUAGUUUAAAAAAUGGCAUUUUCUCCUAAUCACAGGAAGCAAUCUUAACAAUUCCAAAAUCCCUCUGAGUAAUCCUAAUGGAAACAUAUCCUAUUGAUAUGAACAGGAUAAAAUUGGGAAAAUAAGUAAAUGAGAAAAAAGAUCAUGAAGAAUCUUAACAGAAAUAUAAUCAUACUUUGUGCUGUCAUAAGCAUCUUGGGGGCCCCAGGCAGUGUACUGGGGUAUGGGGCCAUCCCUAGUCUCAGACAGAUAAACCAUGCACAUGGUGACUGUUCUGUAUGGACAGUGAGUCCAAC